GAUCACUGCAACAAAGAAACUACAAUUGAUACUUGGGCACUGCUCUACAGUCACAAGAUGGGUGCUCUUGCAGUAGGCUAUUUCCUAAAAGCUUUAUCAAAUAAAGAAAAACUGAACAAGAGUGCAAAAAAGGAAAAGCAAUCAUUUAAAAGAGGUGACCAACUUAACACCUAGCUCCAGCCAUCUUCAUAUACAACUCAAAUAAGUUCUUCUCCUUCAACAGCUAUAUAAAUACUAACAUGGCUGCUACUCUGAAACCUGACAUUCAAGACUGUAUGGCUUCAUUAACCCAUGGUAUCACAAGGCCACAGCUUCUUUACCAGUUUUUUUGCCAGUGCCUCUAUAAAGAUAGCUGGCACCACACCAACAUGUCCCUGUGAUCAACAAAGGAUCAUGCGCUCAGAGAACAGCUCCUACUCUAACAAUUGUAGCGCAUGCAGUGGAGUGGACCUGUGCAACACACCUCAAAGAACAGUAGUCACGGAAAGAGGUUUCCUGCCUCAUUCAAUGCACAGGAUCAACCUGUUCUGGAGAUGACUCAAGGCUGUCAAGUGAAGGAGGCUGUUUGACGUAGGACCCUACUUCAUUUGUUGCAGAAGUAGGAAGGUGUGUGGUUAAUGAGCCAGGAGAUUGCAAGAAGAGACUUGAUUGUCUCAUCGUUAAGGGAGUUCUACAGAAUGCAUCCGAUGAAGUGAGCUGUAGCUCACAAAAGUUUAUGCUCAAAUAAAUUGGUCAGUCUCUAAGGUGCCACAAGUCCUCCUUUUCUUUUUGCGGAUACAGACGAACAUGGCUGCUACUCUGAAACCUACAGAUCUGGAGAACUGGCUUCGAUCCUUGGUUUUGUCACGGAGUUUGUGUGUGUGAUGCUGUGUAAGUCUCUCAAGUGGCCACUAGUUGCGUUCUCCUCAUUUUCCGGGUACCUGACCUGAGACCCUGGGGUCUGAUUUCCAGAAGUGCUGAGCACUCACAGCUGCACAGAGGUCAAGGGGAGCUGAGCUCUGGAUAUUAUAAUGCUAGGUACUUUGAGGAAACAAUCACAUCCUAGAUGAUUCAAAUUGGGCCCCCAAAACUAGCAGAUACUUCUGAACAUACUUCUGUGCCUCAGCUCCCCACCAGUGACACGAGGAUACUACCACCCUCUUGCAACACCGAGGUGUUGUGAAGAUUAAUUAAAAAUAGUAUGUGAGUGCUUCAAUAACACUUGGGGAGAGGAUAAUAGAAAUGUUUGUGAUAACCUUCUGUCUUUAGAGCAGAGUUUGAGUAGCAUGCAAUAAAUAAGGCAGGGGGCCAUACAUUGAACAGUGAGGCUAAAACAAAAUAAUGAAUACCUGCUCAUUCUGUGAGCAUUAUGGUUCUUGUGCACUGAAUGAGGCAGGCACCUUUGGGGGAGGGGGGGAAGGAGGGGAGCACAAAGUAUGUAAUCAUGUAAUUAAAGACUGUACCUCUGCUUUAUGGUUCAAGGGACACAAGUUAAGUCUAGAGAGGUAACCUAAUUUUAGCAAUUCUUAAUUCUUGCAUGCUUGACUUUAACUAUGCAGUGUGGCUUUUACUAGGGGAACCAUAACUCAGUUUUCUGACUCUUCUGUGUAACUUCACUCUUGUAAAGAUAUCACAUUAGUGUUUUUAUGUCUCCUGCAAGGGAAAAGGUGAUUUAAUAGUCAUAGCAGAAGAGUGAGAAUUAGCAGAUCUUUCUAGCAUUGGCUCUGCCACAGACUCCCUGCAGCAAGGGCCAAGUAACUUCAUCUCAGUUUUAUCAUCUCAGAACAGGGACAAUGCCUACCUCACACAGAUGUUGCAAAGCUUAAUGCAUUGUGUUUGGAAAGUGAUCUGAGAUCUUCAAAAGGGAGAUGCUGCAAGUCUGAAAUAAUGCAAAGUUACACGUUGUAUCACUGUCAAUAGCGAGGGCUAGCACAGCUCUAGCUAUAUUGAGACAAAAACUACCUAAUGCAAACAAGUCCCCCUUAGUAUAUUUACUAGCUACUUACAUAGGAAUCAGAAGCAAUGAACCCAGCGUACAGGACCUUUCAAUUAAUGUUUCAGGUAUUGUACACAGCAUAUUAGGAAAAUCCAACAAAGGCAUUGUAUUUACAUACAUGUGCAAACACAAGGCACAACUGGAGGAAGAGUGAGUCUAUUUUCUAUAAGUUGUAAGUUAAGGUUGCAAAGAGAUGAAAUUGGGAGCAUAAGCACGGUGGCUCUUUCAGUCUGCAGUUAAUCAUUCUUUAGUUUAAUCAAAUACUAUUUUAGGAUCAUAAUUUAGCAAACAGUUAUCACUGAGGGAAUUUGACACUUAUCCUUUGUUGAUAGGGACUUAGGAAUACUUAAGACAAAAAAUCCUUAUCCCCUUCUAUUCCUAACAAACCCCCAACAGACCUCUUUGGCAUGUGUUCUUUCAACUGGAAAACACAUUUUUCCUCUUGCUGCUGUGAUAGCCACACUAUAACCAUGUCUCAAAGCUAAACGGUGUGAAUCUACCACACAGGCUAGAUAAACCCCAUCACUUCAUGUAAAUUAAAGUACAUCUGUGUGUAUAAACUACUUUUAAAAAUUAAGUUAAAAUUAGAAGCAUAGAUGUUUAUUUUGGGAAACUCACAGACCACAAAAUACCUGUGUAGGAGGGUAUAUACACUCUGAUCAGAGUGUAAGAAACCAAAAGUUAACCUCAGUUUGUUACUUUUCAUGUUCCCUCUUCAGUUCAACAGAAAAUGAGAUAACUAUGACUGUUGGAACACUAAGGCAGACCGCCUCUUGAAUUGUAUGUCUGAGGGCAGAGCAAACUUGGUGGAUGGCCCUUAAGUCUGGAAUUCAAUCCCUUCACAGUGGUCCAACAGAAAAUUUGCUAAUCUGCAGGGCACACUGCAAGGCCUCUCUGUUUAACCAGGCUUUUUCCAAUAGGCUGUCUAAUGGAGUUUGUUUGGCAAGGCACAGGUGUGCGUUAUUUGUAUUACAUUAGUUAACAGGGGCUUUAGGAAUGUAUUAUGAUUGGGCUGUAAAUGCAACUAGAUAAUAGCAAUAGGGAAAUCUUAUAAAUGUAAAAAAGCAGAAUUCAAGGAGAAGUCUGUCUGGCAAGAGUUUGAACCUGUGCCAUUUUUUGGUAUCACUGUACUGCUCAGUACUACAAUCUCACUCUUUACUGGUUGUGGCUGGUUUUUUUUUGAGGGGUAAAGUUAAUAGUACCAUUCUGUAUUUAGUACAACACCCCAGGGAAUAAAAGCAGAUUGAUAAAUGCACUUUGUUGUUGGAGGCACUUGGCUUUGGUAUCACUAUGUGCUCUAGUCACCUGUCCCAUUACAUAUUCAUCUGCUCUCCAAUUAACCCAUAAUUUCUUCAUAGUUAGUGUUCUCUUUAGUUAUUUCAAAAUCCAUUCUGACUAGUUAUAUACUAAACAGACUAUCACCUAGAGCAAACUGACCUGGUGUUCAGAGGAGAUGAGAUAUGGGGUAAGACUAGAAUAUUUAAACAUUGUGAUCACUUCUAAAAUACACUACAUCACUAGGGGCUAAAAAAGUAAAUUUCCUCCACCUUCUCAUUCUGGUAAUUAUAAGUAUAUACAGAUGGAAUGCAGUCAAUAAAAUUGGUCUUUAAACUGCCUGAAGCUAAGCACAUUCUCAUAUCCUUAAACCAAAGUUUGAUCCACAAGUGUCUGGGUUCAUUUCCUAAAACCUGACAGGAAAGAAAGAUACCAUUUACCCACACACAACACUGAUUUUUCACGUUUUACUUUCAAUAACUUGAAAAUAUUAGAGGGGAGACCUAGUUUGCAGAAUCACAACCAAGAGCUUCCCCCUUUUUGAUGGCAAAUUAGUGAAGCCGGAACACAGUUAUAACGAGUAAGUGAAUGUUAUUCAGCAUCAUCAUUGCUCUGGAGGGAACGACAGUUGGGACAGUGCUGAGUCACCGCAUAAACCACCUGAGCCAUCACUGAUAUCCGUCCAUGGAGCAGUGCAGACAAUGAAGAUGCAGCCUCUCUUAAUGAUGCACGAGUUACAGCCGCCAAUGCUCCAGUAGUUUCAUACCCUUUCCUUCACAAAUACUACAGCAUGGGAUUUAAGAAAGAUGCUUACAGAAUUCUCCUCCUUCCCAAAACAAAUCAUGGUGUUUGGAAGAACCAACACAUUUCACAUCUGGGUUUUUUGGCAAUGGGCACACCCCAUACAGACCAGCCAUCUGUUCUUAUGAAAAAUGUACCAUUAUUACACAAGAUCUUGUCUCGGCAAUUAAGUUAGCACUUGCACAGUGACAAAAUGGCACCCCGGAUAAGGGCAAAGAGAUUGCACUUCAUUUUAAAAUACAGCACAUUAGUAUUUACUCUUGACUGCUAGUUGUACAAUAUUCUGGAGAUUACAAUUUCUGUUACUAACCUCAGU